GAAGAAGCUAGAAGGCUGGAAGAAGAAGAAAGAGCAAGGGAAGCUGAAAUCCUAAGGUUAAAGGAAGCUGAAGCUAAGGCUCUGGCGGAUGCAGAAGCACAAGCUGCUGCUGAAGCUGAAGCUCAGCAGGCUCUGACUCUGGGGGAGUCCUCUUCUGUGAUCCCUAUGGUUCUUCAGACUCUGAAAGAACUUAAGCAAGAUCAG
rnacentral:lncRNA from 1 species